rnacentral:rRNA from 1 species
UACAGAGGGGGCAAGCGUUAUUCGGAAUUAUUGGGCGUAAAGGGCGCGUAGGCGGCUUUUCAAGUGACGGGUGAAAUCCCUCGGCUUAACCGAGGAACUGCCUGUCAGACUGGAAGGCUUGAGACCGGGAGAGGUGAGUGGAAUUCCCAGUGUAGCGGUGAAAUGCGUAGAUAUUGGGAGGAACACCAGUGGCGAAGGCGGGAUCUCUGGGCCGAUACUGACGCUGAGGAGCGAAAGCGUGGGGAGCGAACGAGG